rnacentral:lncRNA from 1 species
UUGGGACUCCUUGUGUCUAUUUGUAGAAGGCUCCUCUGAAAGUAAAAUAGGAAUUGUGGCAAAUCAGGUAUGCUAUGUCUCUCAUGAGUGCAGGGUCGAGGUCCUCUUGUGGUGGGUUUUCUAGUAAAAACCUGUAAAAGCUCGAACAAAUCGGCUCUAUUCUGACCGAUGGGUAUAGGCUUUCAAAGUCAUAUGUAUCGAGGAUGUUUCUUCUCUUCCACUGGUGGGCACUUAUUCUGCUUAAGGCGUCUUCUACUACUAGUGUUGAAUAUUUGCUAUGACCCAAGAUUCUCAUACACCUAUCAAUUACAUUUAUCAAUUAGGAGGAUAGCACAGGUAUCGGAUUGGCUUUGUGAGGUCUAUACAAGACAGUCAGAAGAACCAUCAACCAUCACUCGCCAGACACAACCGGUGAAAGUGGGAGAGAGGGGCAGGACUCCAAAUAUAUCCCAAUACCGAAUGGACUAACCAAGCUUAACUCCAUAAAAAACAUGUUUAAGAAAAUGAGGAGGCCAGCCCAACAUAGA